AGAGUUUGAUCAUGGCUCAGGAUGAACGCUAGCUACAGGCUUAACACAUGCAAGUCGAGGGGCAGCAUGUUGGUUGCUUGCAACCAAUGAUGGCGACCGGCGCACGGGUGAGUAACGCGUAUCCAACCUACCCUUGUCCAUCGGAUAACCCGUCGAAAGGCGGCCUAACACGAUAUGCGGUUCUCAGCAGGCAUCUAACGAGAACGAAAUGUGAAGGAGAAGGAUGGGGAUGCGUCUGAUUAGCUUGUUGGCGGGGUAACGGCCACCAAGGCGACGAUCAGUAGGGUUCUGACGAGGAAGGUCCCCCANAUUGGAACUGAGACACGGUCCAAACUCCUACGGGAGCA
rnacentral:rRNA from 1 species